rnacentral:misc_RNA from 1 species
GAUGAAGAACGUAGCGAAAUGCGAUACGUAAUGUGAAUUGCAGAAUUCAGUGAAUCAUCGAAUCUUUGAACGCAUAUUGCGCUCUCUGGUAUUCCGGAGAGCAUGCUUGUUUGAGUAUCAGUAAACACCUCAACUCCCUUUUCUUUUUUGAAAUGGGAGCUGGACUUGAGUGAUCCCAACGCUUUUCUCACCGGAAAGUGGCGGGUUACUUGAAAUGCAGGUGCAGCUGGACUUUUCUCUGAGCUAUAAGCAUAUCUAUUUAGUCUGCCUAAAAACAGAUUAUUACCUUUGCUGCAGCUAACAUAAAGGAGAUUAGUUCUUGUGCUGACUGAUGCAGGAUUCACAGAGACAGCUUCGGCUGACUUUGUAAACUCGAUCUCAAAUCAAGUAAGACUACCCGCUGAACUUAAGCAUAUCAAUAAGCGAGGA